rnacentral:rRNA from 1 species
GUAACAAGGUUUCCGUAGGUGAACCUGCGGAAGGAUCAUUGUCGAAACCUGCAAAGCAGAACGACCCGCGAACCCGUCGAUUGCACCGGCGCGGGGGGCGUGCUCGGCUUGUCCGGGUGCUACUCCAACGCCUGCCGGGGGGGUGAGGCAUGCCUCGCUCCCCACGGCGCUAACAAUGAACCCCGGCGCGGACUGCGCCAAGGAAAUGCAACGAGAGAGCACGCUCCCGUGGCCCCGGAGACGGUGCGCCUACGGGAUGCGGCGCCUUCUUUCAACCUUAUCUAAAACGACUCUCGGCAACGGAUAUCUCGGCUCUCGCAUCGAUGAAGAACGUAGCGAAAUGCGAUACUUGGUGUGAAUUGCAGAAUCCCGUGAACCAUCGAGUCUUUGAACGCAAGUUGCGCCCCAAGCCGUCAGGCCGAGGGCACGUCUGCCUGGGUGUCACGCAUCGUUGCCCCCUCCCGACCCCCUCCGCCUAGAGGGGCUGUUGGCGUUUGGGGGCGUAGAUUGGCCUCCCGUGGGCUUAUCGCCCGCGGUUGGCCCAAAAUUGAGUCCCUUCGGCGAAUGCGGCCGCGACUAUCGGUGGUUGUCUCGUUAGAGCCUGUCGAGAUUCCGUCGCGGCCCUAUUUGCCGCGCAUGGGCUAAUUGGACCCUGACGCUCCGCGCUAGCGGCGCUCGCAUCGCGACCCCAGGUCAGGCGGGACUACCCGCUGAAUUUAAGCAUAUC